rnacentral:rRNA from 1 species
AACCGGGGCAUGCCUCAGUACGGCGAGUGAGCGAGCAACAGCUCAAAUUUGAAAGCCCGCGGGCGUUGUAAUUUGCAGGCGGAUGUUUUGGGGCGGGCGCUGUCUACGUUCCUUGGAACAGGACGCCGCAGAGGGUGAGAGCCCCGUGCGAUGGCGCCUCCAACCGCGUAAAACUCCGCCGACGAGUCGAGUUGUUUGGGAAUGCAGCUCCAAGUGGGUGGUAAAUUCCAUCUAAAGCUAAAUACUGGCGAGAGACCGAUAGCGAACAAGUACAGUGAUGGAAAGAUGAAAAGCACUUUGAAAAGAGAGUGAAACAGCACGUGAAAUUGUUGAAAGGGAAGGGUAUGCGAUUAGCGGCCAGCAGGAGGUGCCUUCUCGUGAAAAGGCCGUGCACCGUCUUCGGACACCGUGCGCGGAGAUGGCGAGGGGGCGCCUGAGGUCUGCGACUCGAGGUUGCUGGCGUAAUGAUUGCAUACCACCCGUCUUAACACACGUUCCAAU